AUUGAACGCUGGCGGCACGCUUAACACAUGCAAGUCGAACGGUAGCAGGUUAAUGCUUCGGUAUUAAUGCUGACGAGUGGCGGACGGGUGAGUAACACGUAGGAAUCUGUCUUAUAGAGGGGGAAACGAGGGGAAACGUCCUGCUAAUACCGCGUAAGCCCUGAGGGGAAAGGCUGGGAGCCUGAGAGGGUCCUGGCGCUAUAAGGUGAGCCUACGGCGGAUUAGCUAGUUGGUGGGGUAAAGGCCUACCAAGGCGAUGAUCCGUAGCUGUUCUGAGAGGAAGGACAGCCACACUGGGACUGAGACACGGCCCAGACUCCUACGGGAGGCAGCAGUGGGGAAUCUUGGACAAUGGGGGGAACCCGUGAUCCAGCGAUGCCGCGUGUGUG
rnacentral:rRNA from 1 species